rnacentral:rRNA from 1 species
CAGCCGCCACGGUAAUACGAAGGGGGCUAGCGUUGUUCGGAAUCACUGGGCGUAAAGCGCACGUAGGCAGACUUUUAAGUCAGAGGUGAAAUCCCAAGGCUCAACCUUGGAACUGCCUUUGAUACUGGGAGUCUUGAGUUCGGGAGAGGUGAGUGGAACUGCGAGUGUAGAGGUGAAAUUCGUAGAUAUUCGCAAGAACACCAGUGGCGAAGGCGGCUCACUGGCCCGAUACUGACGCUGAGGUGCGAAAGCGUGGGGAGCAAACAGGAUUAGAUACCCCUGUAGUCCCUGUCUCUUAUAC